AUUGAACGCUGGCGGCAUGCUUUACACAUGCAAGUCGAACGGCAGCGCGGGCUUCGGCCUGGCGGCGAGUGGCGAACGGGUGAGUAAUGCAUCGGAACGUGCCCAGUAGUGGGGGAUAGCCCGGCGAAAGCCGGAUUAAUACCGCAUACGACCUGAGGGUGAAAGCGGGGGACCGAAAGGCCUCGCGCUAUUGGAGCGGCCGAUGUCGGAUUAGCUAGUUGGUGGGGUAAAGGCUUACCAAGGCGACGAUCCGUAGCUGGUCUGAGAGGACGACCAGCCACACUGGGACUGAGACACGGCCCAGACUCCUACGGGAGGCAGCAGUGGGGAAUUUUGGACAAUGGGGGCAACCCUGAUCCAGCCAUGCCGCGUGCGGGAAGAAGGCCUUCGGGUUGUAAACCGCUUUUGUUCGGGAAGAAAUCCUCUGGGCUAAUACCCCGGGGGGAUGACGGAACCGGAAGAAUAAGCACCGGCUAACUACGUG
rnacentral:rRNA from 1 species